ensembl:lincRNA Gm27042 predicted gene, 27042
AGACGAAAGGCGCCGACAGGGGGCGUGGGAGCAAAAAGGAAGGCGCGCUCACAGCACUUUUUGCUAAGGGUUGAGUACCAGGAAGAGGAGUUCUUUGAAAUGAAAUGGAGCAAACCUCUGGACAGCAAGAAAGCAUAUUCCUAGAAUAUGAGAUACUUUUAGGCGCCUGCAUAGCCUCGCAAGAGACGUACAGCUUGUUCCUUAAACUGAAUGUCUGUAAAACGUCUUCCCCAUGUAACAGUCAUACUAAGGGCUGCAUUGGUUUGCGUACAGAGAAGAUUCAGGAUGGAGCCUAAUGUGUCCUGAGCUUUCCAGUAAGCAGGAGAUCACUAUGACGUUCUGUCUCAAGGAGGAAAGAGUCAAUGGAAGGUCCGUGUGUUAAACAGAAUCACCAUGUGACCUGGCAACUUCACUCAAUGUAUGUACCUAAGAAAAAUGAAAAAUCAAUGUCCACACUGCAGUUGAGAGUAACCUAAAUGUCAUCGUCUAACAAAUGGACCAAACGUGGUAGAUCCUUGAACGGACUGUUUAGCCAUAAAGGAGCAACGUGUUGAUACAGAUUACAAAUCAGACGAACUCCGAAAACACACAAAGUGAAAAGAUGCCAGACACAAAAGGUAACACAAUGAACAUCCAGAAUAGGCCAUCUACAGAGGAACAAAAAGAGAUUGGUGAUUACCAAGGACAACCAGGAGGAGAGGGAAGAGGCUGCUCACAGGUAGCUCUUCUCUGGAGUCGGUGGUAAUUGCUGCUACUACACUGAUUUGUGCAUUAUCCAUUUUUGGUUUAUGUAUUCAGUGUAUGUGUAUGUAGAGGGCACAUGUGUGUAUAUGCCUGAGGCUAACCCUAUGUCUCCUCAACCACUCACCUCAUUCACUGAGCCAGAGUCUCUCAAUGGAGUCUGGAGCUCUGUUUUGACUAGUAGGGCUAGCCUGAUUAUUCCAGGGAAUCCUUGUCUCUGCCUCUCACAGGAAUUUUAGGCAAGCUGCCAUGUACAUCAGGAGAUGUAUAUAAAUUUUUUUUGAAUCCUAGGACUCUAGAUACCUGUCCCUGUACUUGCAUGGCAAACACUUUACCAAUAAAACCAUUUCCCCAGU